CAAGUUACAAAUAUGUAAAAUUCAAAAGAAUUGAGCCUUCAUCAUACUUUGGCUAAACCACGGGUGUGUUUCAAUAGUCUCAUGAGGCUUUUCUAUGUUAACAACAAUCAGAAAAAUCUAAUCGCUAAAUGCAAAGU